UGUAAUUGAACAUGUACAGUUGGUUGUGUAUACGGAAGGGAAGAGCUUCCUUAUUGUGUCAGUACAGAUGGUUCCUUAUUUUAUGGUUCAUUGUUCUUGUCUGUCUUUUGUAAUUUGUUCAAACGUAAUAGUUUUACUUCAGCCAGUCAAUAUUUGUCAAGGUUUUUUUACGGUCAGAUUUUCAAAGACUUACUGAUCAUUUAACGUACCAACUCAAAGAUGUUCAGUCAAAGGUGGAGCUUCGGGGAAACUACACUGUUGAAACGGGUUGGAGCUGGAAGGGAUUGGGGUUGGUAUCCCGGGCCGGUAUCCUCGUUCCGAUGCGAUAACACUGCCUCUCAAUGACCUCACACUAGUCACUCAGGGGCUCCCGAGCGGCACAGCGGUCUAAGGCACUGCAUCUCAGUGCUAUAGGCAUCACUACAGAUCCUGGUUCGAUUCCAGGCUGUAUCACAACCGGACGUGAUUGGGAGUCCCAUAGGGCGGCGCACAAUUGGCCCAGCGUCGUCCGGGUUUGGCUGGGGAGGAUGGCCACAACAGAACCUCCAGGCAGGCAGCUGUAAUAUUGCCAUGGCAAUGACCUACAUUCCAUACCAGGACCUACCCACUACCCAGUGCUGGCUGGGUGGCCCUCUGUUGGACCGAGCUGGGCCUCUCUCUCUAUAUGAAGGAUGAAUACAAAGCCACACUCACGUGCUGAUUGUAGACUGAGAGUGUAAGAAUAUAAUUAUUUGUGUUAAGAAUUCAGGAGCAUAGGCUAUACUGAAAAGAUUUGGCAUGGGUCCUCAGAUCCUCAAAAAGUUCUACAGCUGCACCAUCGAGAGCAUCCUGACUGGUUGCAUCACCGCUUGGUAUGGCAACUACUCGGCAUCCGACUGCAAGGCGCUACAGAGGGUAGUGUGUACGGCCCAGUACAUCACUGGGGCCAAGCUUUGUGCCAUCCAGGACCUCUAUACCAGGCAGUGUCAGAGGAAGACCCUAAGAAUUGUCAAGGCUUCAGGCCACCCAUGUCAUAGACUGUUCUCUCUGCUAUCACAUGGCCAGCGGUACCGAAGAAAAUCUAGGUCCAAAAGGCUGCUUAACAGCUUCUACCCCCAAACCAUAAGACUGCUGAACAGGUCAUCAAAUGGCCACCCAGACUAUUUGCAUUGAAACCCGUUUUUAUGCUGCUGUUUAUUAUCUAUGCAUAUUUCCUUUAUCCCUACCUACAUGUACUGUAUAUGUUUCCUCAAAUACCUCGACGAGCCUGUACCCCCGCACAUUGACUAACCGGUAUCCCCACACAUUGACACGGUAUAUAGCCUCUAUAGUUAUGUUAUUGUGUUUCUUCAAAAAUAAAACUUUUAUUGUGUU